ACAGGAAGUAAUAAAAAACGGCGGCUUUUGUUGCACAACUUGACCGACGUUUGAGCGAUGAUUCUUGUUAUUUCGUUUGUUUAACCGAUCUUUGGAAGAAUAUUUGUCCAUUAAGUGUGUAAGUCCUUUGGUGUCCGCCAUUAUUACUGUUUAUAUUUGUAUAUUUGUACAAAAAUCAUCGCUCAAACUCGGUCAAGUUGUACAAUAAAAGCCGCCGUUUUUUAUUACUUCCUGUCUUUUUUUUUUUAUUAGCUUCGCCAACUAGGGCAGGGUCACCACAACAGCAUAUGCCAAUUACUGUGGGCCCUUUUUACCUAACCCACCCUGUCAACUUUUCCCUGUGGGAGGAAACCGGAGUACCCGGGGAAAACCCACGGCGUUCGGCAGAGCGUUGACUUUUACUCUUUUCACUUGGGGACUGGGUUCGAGUCGCACUGAGAAGGUACUUAGUGAGACUCGAACCUGCAGCCUCAGAGGUGAAAGGCAAGUGCGCUAACCACUUGGCCACCGAUCCUUCGAUUAGCAAGAAAUCUCGGCCACAUAUCAGAAAAAACCCACCGAUUAUCUAAAAAUAAAAAUUGGAUAUGCUU